UGAACGCUGGCGGCGUGCCUAAUACAUGCAAGUCGAGCGAACAGACGAGGAGCUUGCUCCUCUGACGUUAGCGGCGGACGGGUGAGUAACACGUGGAUAACCUACCUAUAAGACUGGGAUAACUUCGGGAAACCGGAGCUAAUACCGGAUAAUAUAUUGAACCGCAUGGUUCAAUAGUGAAAGACGGUUUUGCUGUCACUUAUAGAUGGAUCCGCGCCGCAUUAGCUAGUUGGUAAGGUAACGGCUUACCAAGGCAACGAUGCGUAGCCGACCUGAGAGGGUGAUCGGCCACACUGGAACUGAGACACGGUCCAGACUCCUACGGGAGGCAGCAGUAGGGAAUCUUCCGCAAUGGGCGAAAGCCUGACGGAGCAACGCCGCGUGAGUGAUGAAGGUCUUCGGAUCGUAAAACUCUGUUAUUAGGGAAGAACAAAUGUGGAAGUAACUAUGCACGUCUUGACGGUACCUAAUCAGAAAGCCACGGCUAACUACGUG
rnacentral:rRNA from 1 species